rnacentral:rRNA from 1 species
GAUGAACGCUGGCGGCGUGCCUAAUACAUGCAAGUCGAGCGAACAGACGAGGAGCUUGCUCCUCUGACGUUAGCGGCGGACGGGUGAGUAACACGUGGAUAACCUACCUAUAAGACUGGGAUAACUUCGGGAAACCGGAGCUAAUACCGGAUAAUAUAUUGAACCGCAUGGUUCAAUAGUGAAAGACGGUUUUGCUGUCACUUAUAGAUGGAUCCGCGCCGCAUUAGCUAGUUGGUAAGGUAACGGCUUACCAAUGCAACGAUGCGUAGCCGACCUGAGAGGGUGAUCGGCCCCACUGGAACUGAGACACGGUCCAGACUCCUACGGGAGGCAGCAGUAGGGAAUCUUCCGCAAUGGGCGAAAGCUUGACGGAGCAACGCCGCGUGAGUGAUGAAGGUCUUCGGAUCGUAAAACUCUGUUAUUAGGGAAGAACAAAUGUGUAAGUAACUAUGCACGUCUUGACGGUACCUAGUCAGAAAGCCACGGCUAACUACGUG